CGUGUAGGCGGUAGUGAAAGUCUGGUGUGAAAUACCUCGGCUCAACCGAGGGGCCGCGCUGGAAACUGUGCUGCUAGAGUUUAGGAGGGGGAGCUGGAAUUCCUGGUGUAGGGGUGAAAUCUGUAGAGAUCAGGAAGAACACCGGAGGCGAAGGCGAGCUCCUGGCCAUAGACUGACGCUGAGGCGCGAAAGCGUGGGGAGCGAACAGGAUUAGAUACCCUGGUAGUCC
rnacentral:rRNA from 1 species